GGACAACCUCAACAUUCAUUGGGUGGUGAUGCUGAAAGUAAGAGGGAAAAAAGAGACAGGUGGUUGAGAUGAUAUGAGAAUUGGUCAAGCAUGUUUAUCAAGAAGGCAGCUAAAGAAUGAAGCUGCUUUAGAGGACUGCAGUGGACAGGCGAGAAGGAAAGGGAGGAGAGGAAAAUGCUGACUUCACCGAAUUUCUGCUCCAUGAAGCAAGAAGAAAAAUUUUGCAAAGGACUUGGGCAGACCAUACAACUCAAAUAGAUGACAAUGCCAUCCCCAAAUUUAUACAGGCUGCAAAUGAGCUGUCAGCCAGAAGAACAGAAUGCCACAAAAAAAGAGAUUUUCAACUGAAGUUGCAUGGGCAUCUCUCAAAGAUUCUCUGAUGGAUCCUGCACUGAGCAGAAGGCUGGACCAGAUGACCUCUAGAUACAUUCCAACUCUAUAAUUCUACAAAUUUCACACAAACAAGUCCCAAUUCUGCACAAUCUCACCUGUGUUUCAAUUAAAGCAGAAGAUCAAGAUCAUUUUUUAAAAUUAAAUUUCUACACCACCCAUCUCAUCUAAGUGACCCUGGAUGGUUGACAACAUUGGAUUGAAUACAACAAUAUAACAAGAGAAAGAGGAAGGCAUGAAGGUCAAGACCAGCUCUUGAAUAUUGUACUAACAAUGUUAAAUAGCAUGUCAUCCAACAAAGGAUUAAGAAAUGCUUCCAUCAGCAUUUCCUAUUGUAUGAGCCUGGAUUACAACAAGCUGUUUAUGAUCCUCGACUACUUUUGUGGACAAUUAUAACUAUACAAAUAAAAAUAAAUAAAUGAAGAAAUCAAGAAA